rnacentral:rRNA from 1 species
UACGUAGGGUGCAAGCGUUGUCCGGAAUUAUUGGGCGUAAAGAGCUCGUAGGCGGUCUGUUGCGUCGGCUGUGAAAACCCGAGGCUCAACCUCGGGCCUGCAGUCGAUACGGGCAAACUAGAGUACUGCAGGGGAGACUGGAAUUCCUGGUGUAGCGGUGAAAUGCGCAGAUAUCAGGAGGAACACCGGUGGCGAAGGCGGGUCUCUGGGCAGUAACUGACGCUGAGGAGCGAAAGCGUGGGGAGCGAACAGG